UGAAGAUUCCAACAAGGAGGGGCGGGGGAGGUAAUGCACUGCUCAAACUCAAGGCAGCAGUUCGGAGCCCGGGGGCGGCUCCCAGGCUGGGCAGGAACACCAAUGGAUUCAGAAGCAGCCCAUGACUGACUGUGGAGUGUGUUCAGACUCCAGAGGCUGGGGAAAAUGAAGAUCAUCUGGUAAACAGAAUGGUGGUAGAGCCCUAUACUGGAGUGAGAUGGAGAACUGUUUCUCUGAAGUCCACCAGCCUUUCACUUGCAGGCUAGUUGUGAUAAUGACAAGAAACCGGAGCUGAAACAUGAGGAGCAGAACCUAAUUAAUAAUGAAGAGAUGACACGGCAGCGCAACGUGCGCUGACGACCACCUGCAAGAGACAACCCCCAUUUUCAAAGACCAUUUUAAGCAACCCCAAGACUUCCAAUACAAUUUAAUUGGAGACAACAUACCAGAUCAACCCAAACUUCUGCACCGGGUCUUGCAGAAGCUAGUGUGUUCCGGGGGUGAUAUUCUAAGAGGGACACAGAACAAAGGUUGCAGCUGACGGGGAGGGAGAGCUAAGGUGGCUUUAAGAUACCUUUGCACCUUCCCCAUGGUGGGCUGCAGAGACCUCUGGCAUAACUCAAGCUGCAGGGCUGUAACUCUGUCUGGCAUCAACAAAACGGAGGCCACUGCUUUCCAGGGACAAUGCUCUGGCGAGCUUUGGUAUUGUAAAUAUGGGACAGGAGCAUGGUGCGGUGGUCUGGAGAUUUGGGUCACCUAGUCUAAAGGGAUUCUUUCUGCUUCUGCUUGUAUCAUUAUUUCACUGAUGCCUUUGUAUACUGCUUUGCUUCAGAGAGAGUGAGCCUGUAGCUAGAGAAGCUGGGAGGACUUUUUUUAAAUAGAGGAAAACAAAUCUACAGAAGGAUCUAAAAAAAUACACAUUCUCUGAAGGCCACAUCUCCAUAAUGAUGCAUUAGAAUAGCACUACGGGCCAGAUCUCAGUGCUGCUGAACCCCCUCAACUCCCAUUGAUGUCAGUGGGAAUUGAGGACAGGGCACCGUGAUGGAGGUACUUGGAACCUUGCCGGACCGAAUCCUAAACUCCUUCCAUUUGGGGGGGCCGUCUGCAUUGCUUGCUCAACCAAAACCCGCUGGAAUCAUUGGCGUUUUGGCUGCAUGAGAAAUGUGGAAUUAGACGCUUGGUUAAGAAUGCAGGAAUUGGCUCCCUACCAUAUUUCCAUGAGGAUCUAGGGCUCUGAGACCGGCAUGGGGCUUUUAUUUCAGGAUUACUGCCAACAUGAGGAAUAAUCCAGCCGUGCUGAAACAGCCCAUGUGAAUGCAAAUAAUUUUAUGAUCCUUUGCUGAGGCAGUAAAAUCUCACUUGAAAAAAAAUAUCAAAUAUGUUUUUUUCCCCCAUUUUAUGGCUUGGGAUGGGGGGUAAAUCCUGGGCACUGCUGAACAAUGCCGAAAUCAGAGGGCCUUGCAGGUCCUCCGCACCUCUCGGGAUUUCGCCCAUUAAGUGUGUAACACCCCAAACGCUUGGAGUUUACAAGACCACCUUGGGAAGCAAGGUUUCAGUUUUAUUCAUGUGCUAAAAGCAUCCAUAGAUCAAAUGUGCAAGCCUCUUUUUAGGCCAGGAAAAUGCCACCAGGGGACUCUCGGGACUCAUCUCUUCAAAUGCUGAUCCCUCCUUGUCCGUUUUAAUAAAAGGCAGCAACAGAAAAAAAGUGUGCCAUGUGGUCUCAAUAAAGCAGAGAGCGUAGCAAUCAAUAACAGAAACAAUCUGCACUUACUUGCUUGUAGAAUUUGCCUUUAGCAGCAGCAUCUAUAAAACCAAACCACUUGAGACCUCCCUUCACUGUUUUGUUUCUCUUGGGACAAUGAACCCACUGUACCCAAGCUCAUCUGUGUAUUUUAUAAUUUCCCCUCUGUUUAGACUGACACCUUGACCAUAAAUCACACCAUGAUAAUGAUCAGAUGGUUGAUCCUGACUCUACCAUUUAUUGUAACUGGACUGUCUGCCACGCAGCAGACUAGUUUCUGAUGACAAUGGGUAUUUUUUUGUAUGCAACAUGGACAUUAUUUUCUCUCAAGCUCAGUGAUCUUUCAUUCAUAUUAUAUAUAUAUAUAAAAUUUGUUCCCAUGUUAGCUGAUUAAAAUAGAUAUUAAAAAUACUUGUGAAGACAAAUAUU